rnacentral:lncRNA from 1 species
CAUGUAGCCACCUUAUCCUGCACAGGUCUGUGGCAGGCCGUGAGACGGUGACCAGAGAAGCAGUCAGCACUCACGGCCCCUGCCCUUUCAGAGUUUACGCUUGCUUGGAAGCCUCCAGGAUGGGGAUAAGCACAAGACAUUUAUGCUGGAUUUCAUCUAGGAAGCACUGGUGGAAGGAAGAGAAAGCAGCCCACACAGCAAGGUUCAGGAGAAGAUUCCCAUGAAGGACAACUGGGGUUCAACCCCAUCCAGCAGGUGACAUGGAGCCGGCCUCGGAGGUGUCCUCACCGUGGGACACUGGCAUCUGAGCUACCUCAGGGCGUAGCCGGCCGAUGUUCCCAGCCUCCCCCUGGGCACAGCCAGCCCAGGCCAAGUGGUCUAGCCCUGGCCCCCACUCAGCAUGACCCAAAAAAGGAGCAAAAAGCAAGAAAGCUCAAGGACCCUCAGAAUCAAGUUUUGCAGAAAGACACAAAGCUGAAGACCAGAGGUGCAACUGAGGGAACACACCCUGUAAGACUGCCUCCCGGACACACCACUGCAGCCAGUGAAUUGCACUGUUUAGACUUUGACUUCAGGGUCAGGGUGAGCUGAUGAGACUGGCCCCUUGAUGAGGUAAGAGGCCACCAAGGAGUGAGAGCAGCUGAGUUUGAGCCCUGCCUCUGCCGUCUGUAACUCUCUCAUCUUGAGCAGGUCCAGCCCCAGUGUGGGCCUCAGAUCUCCCAUCCUUGAGAUGAGAGAAUUCAAAUCUAGCUCCGGCUCUGCAGCCCACGCCCUUCCCCUGCAUUGCAUGGCAUCCGAUAGGCUUGAAGAAGGCGUGAAUGACAUUCAAAGGCCACAUCAUCUAAGUCGCACUCCUCUCCCAUCCCUUCCCUUGUUGUCCUUUACAUGAUUCCCAUUCAUCUUUCUUCUCUUGGGCCCAGGGGUGUGCUGGUGAAUGUUUAACAGCCACUCCAUGAAAAAAUAAAAUGGUCUUGAUUGAUGGCA